rfam:Schistosoma haematobium scaffold979_8, whole genome shotgun sequence.
GCACUGCUGAAGAGUCCCAUAAUAGAACAAAACGGUCGUCCAGUGC